rnacentral:rRNA from 1 species
ACUCCGUCAGCGGCCAAGCGAAAGCAUUAAGUAUUCCACCUGGGGAGUACGCCGGCAACGGUGAAACUCAAAGGAAUUGACGGGGGCCCGCACAAGCGGAGGAACAUGUGGUUUAAUUCGAUGAUACGCGAGGAACCUUACCCGGGCUUGAAUUGCAGAGGAAGGAUUUGGAGACAAUGACGCCCUUCGGGGUCUCUGUGAAGGUGCUGCAUGGUUGUCGUCAGCUCGUGCCGUGAGGUGUCGGCUUAAGUGCCAUAACGAGCGCAACCCUUGUUGUCAGUUACUAACAGGUUCUGCUGAGGACUCUGACAAGACUGCCAUCGUAAGAUGUGAGGAAGGUGGGGAUGACGUCAAAUCAGCACGGCCCUUACGUCCGGGGCUACACACGUGUUACAAUGGGGGGUACAGAGGGCCGCUACCACGCGAGUGGAUGCCAAUCCCAAAAACCUCUCUCAGUUCGGACUGGAGUCUGCAACCCGACUCCACGAAGCUGGAUUCGCUAGUAAUCGCGCAUCAGCCACGGCGCGGUGAAUACGUUCCCGGGCCUUGUACACACCGCCCGUCAAGCCAUGGGAGCCGGGGGUACCUGAAGUGCGUAACCGCGAGGAGCGCCCUAGGGUAAAACUGGUGACUGGGGCUAAGUCGUAACAAGGUAGCCGUACCGGAAGGUGCGGCUG